UCAACUUUAGAUUAGACCUCAGAUCAGGCAGGAUCACCCGCUGAACUUAAGCAUAUCAAUAAGCGGAGGAAAAGAAACUAACAAGGAUUCCCCUAGUAACGGCGAGUGAAGCGGGAAGAGCUCAAAUUUGUAAUCUGGCACUUUCAGUGUCCGAGUUGUAAUCUCGAGAAGUAUUUUCCGCGCCGGACCGCAUACAAGUCUGUUGGAAUAGAGCGUCAUAGUGGUGAGAACCCCGUAACUGAUGCGGAUGCCCGGUGCUUUGUGAUAUACUUUCGAAGAGUCGAGUUGUUUGGGAAUGCAGCUCAAAUUGGGUGGUAAAUUCCAUCUAAAGCUAAAUAUUGGAGCAAGACCGAUAGCGAACAAGUACCGUGAGGGAAAGAUGAAAAGCACUUUGGAAAGAGAGUUAACAGUACGUGAAAUUGUUGGAAGGGAAACGCUUGAAGUCAGACUUGCUAUUCGGAGUUCAGCCGCAAGGUGUAUUCUUCGAUUUGCAGGCCAGCAUCAGUUUUUGGGGGUGGAAAAUCGUGGUUUGAAUGUAGCAGUUUCGGCUGUGUUAUAGCUUUCCACUGGAUUCAUCUUCGGGGACUGAGGAACGCAGUACGCUUUUUGCAAGGCUCUCGAGCUUU
rnacentral:rRNA from 1 species